rnacentral:rRNA from 1 species
UACGUAGGUGGCAAGCGUUGUUCGGAAUUAUUGGGCGUAAAGGGCGCGUAGGCGGUUUGUUAAGUCGGCUGUGAAAGCCCGGGGCUCAACCCCGGAGGGUCAGCCGAUACUGGCAGACUAGAGUACGGAAGAGGUAGCUGGAAUUCCCGGUGUAGCGGUGAAAUGCGUAGAGAUCCGGCGGAACACCGGUGGUGAAGGCGGUCUCCUGGGCCGAGGGCAGACGCUGAUGCGCGAGAGCGUGGGGAGCGAACCGG